rnacentral:rRNA from 1 species
UACGAAGGGGGCAAGCGUUGUUCGGAAUCAUUGGGCGUAAAGGGCGCGUAGGCGGGUUUGUAAGUCGAUUGUGAAAUCCCUGGGCUUAACCUGGGAAUUGCAGUCGAAACUGCAAGUCUUGAGUUCUCGAGAGGAUGGUGGAAUUCCUGGAGUAGUAGUGAAAUACGUAGAUAUCAGGAGGAACACCGGAGGCGAAGGCGGCCAUCUGGCGAGACACUGACGCUAAGGCGCGAAAGCGUGGGGAGCAAACAGG